GUCGAACGGUAGAGGGGGCAACCCCUUGAGAGUGGCGAACGGGUGAGUAAUAUAUCGGAACGUGCCCAGUCGUGGGGGAUAACGUAGCGAAAGUUACGCUAAUACCGCAUACGAUCUAAGGAUGAAAGCGGGGGACUCGCAAGAGCCUCGCGCGAUUGGAGCGGCCGAUAUCAGAUUAGGUAGUUGGUGGGGUAAAGGCUCACCAAGCCAACGAUCUGUAGCUGGUCUGAGAGGACGACCAGCCACACUGGAACUGAGACACGGUCCAGACUCCUACGGGAGGCAGCAGUGGGGAAUUUUGGACAAUGGACGCAAGUCUGAUCCAGCCAUUCCGCGUGCAGGAUGAAGGCCCUCGGGUUGUAAACUGCUUUUGUACGGAACGAAAAGGUUUCUAUUAAUACUAGGAGCUCAUGACGGUACCGUAAGAAUAAGCACCGGCUAACUACGUGCCAGCAGCCGCGGUAAUACGUAGGGUGCAAGCGUUAAUCGGAAUUACUGGGCGUAAAGCGUGCGCAGGCGGUUAUGUAAGACAGAGGUGAAAUCCCCGGGCUCAACCUGGGAACUGCCUUUGUGACUGCAUAGCUAGAGUACGGUAGAGGGGGAUGGAAUUCCGCGUGUAGCAGUGAAAUGCGUAGAUAUGCGGAGGAACACCGAUGGCGAAGGCAAUCCCCUGGACCUGUACUGACGCUCAUGCACGAAAGCGUGGGGAGCAAACAGGAUUAGAUACCCUGGUAGUCCACGCCCUAAACG
rnacentral:rRNA from 1 species